rnacentral:rRNA from 1 species
GAUUAACGCUGGCGGCGUGCAUAACACAUGCAAGUCGAACGAUGAAACUUAACUGAUUUCUUCGGAAUGAUUUUAAGUGGAUUAGUGGCGGACGGGUGAGUAACGCGUGAGUAACCUGCCUUGGAGAAGGGGAUAGCCUUUGGAAACGAAGAAUAAUACCCUAUGAUAUGAUAAUAUCUCAUGAUAUUACCAUCAAAGAUUUAUCGCUCUAAGAUGGACUUGCGUCUGAUUAGUUAGUUGGUGAGGUAACAGCUCACCAAGGCAGCGAUCAGUAGCCGGCUUGAGAGAGUGUACGGCCACAUUGGGACUGAGACACGGCCCAGACUCCUACGGGAGGCAGCAGUGGGGAAUUUUGCACAAUGGGGGAAACCCUGAUGCAGCGACGCCGCGUGAUUUAGAAGGCCUUCGGGUUGUAAAAAUCUUUUGUAUGGGAAGAAAAUGACAGUACCAUACGAAUAAGGACCGGCUAAUUACGUG